rnacentral:rRNA from 1 species
GAAUUACUGGAAACCGGAGCUAAUACCGGAUAAUAUAUUGAACCGCAUGGUUCAAUAGUGAAAGACGGUUUUGCUGUCACUUAUAGAUGGAUCCGCGCUGCAUUAGCUAGUUGGUAAGGUAACGGCUUACCAAGGCAACGAUGCGUAGCCGACCUGAGAGGGUGAUCGGCCACACUGGAACUGAGACACGGUCCAGACUCCUACGGGAGGCAGCAGAG